GCUGAGUACUCCCAAGUGACGUCACAGUCAAGCCAGGACCUGGAAUUCGGUUGCUAGGUGACAGAUGAAAUGGAACGUACCUGAGCUCUAUAUAAAGCGCAGCAGUGCGCUGAUCGCUCAGUCUUCAACUGACAGCUAAAGAGGAAGGACGCAGAGCGAAUAUCUCUCAGGACGAUGUUUUUAAAGUCUUUUUUCAGUUGUAAACCAGCUGUUUAUGUGGCGGGCAUAGCCGCAGUAACAUCUGGUUUAUUUGUUUACAGGUGGCAGCCGCAGAUCAGGAGGCAGCAGGCACCUGACCCGACACCUGCUCCAGAGCCUGACACGACACCUGCUCCAGAGCCUGACACGACACCUGCUCCAGAGCCUGACACGACACCUGCUCCAGAGCCUGACACGACACCUGGCCCAGAGCCUGACACGACACCUGGCCCAGAGCCUGACACGACACCUGGCCCAGCACCUGCCCCAGUGCCUGCCCACUAUAGCAGGUCAUAUUGCCUUGGCCCCACGUCUUUUCAUAUAAGGACGCAGCUUCGUAACAUGUACUCACUCUUCCCUGUGAUAGCAACUAGAUGUAGAUUAAACUCGGGUGGAUAAAGACUAAGCUCAUCACCAACAACGCCGGUGUGUGGAACUACACGGGGCAAUAGAUUGAUGAAGCGUGUGAUGACAUCCAUACAGAUGAAUUCCAGGGAUUGAUCUGAACAUUUUUUUUGCAAAAACAAAUAAAAAUCAAAAAAUAUGA